rnacentral:lncRNA from 1 species
CUUCUCCCCUGCAUCUCUUCUGAGCCGGCUGGAGGUCUCAUGCAGCAAGGUUUCUUGCAGAACAGGAAGAGAAAUAGUGGACAAACUCAGUUUUGCCCUUCUUUUUAUCUUAAAAAAGAAGAAGAAGAAGAAGAAGAAGAAGAAGAAGAAGAAGAAGAAGAAGAAGAAGAAGAAGAAGAAGAAGAAGAAGAAGAAGAAGAAGAAGAAGAAGAAGAAAAGGGGAGUAAUUUUUCAGAGCAAAGAGUUAAAAAGUAUUGGUGUGCUGACAUCCAUCACUUCAUUGCGUCAUGUUGUGGCCAAGGGGAGAUGGAUUUUCCCCACGUAUGGAGCCUUUCCAGUUUUGAUGGCAAGGUCAAAUUCGUAGCCCAGCUGCUUUGCACACUCAUGGGGUAUGGCUGGGCUGCUGCUCGCAUGCUGCUUGAUGGCCUUGCAAGUGCAGGACCUGGCUGUGAAUCAGGUCCAAGGAAUCCCAUAGAAAGCCUCCACAGUGAGGACUGAACCAGACAAGGCUGCAUGCAUAUUAACCUCCUCCCCACAAAACCCGAGAAGGUCUCCUAACACUCUCCUUCCCAAACCCCCACCACUUUUCCUCUUUCUUUGAUUUUUCGGCUAAAAAUAGGGUGACAGAGGGACUGUGGGGUAAGCAGCUGGAGUAGAGCGGAGCCAGUUGCCAUAGAAACCAAUGAGCCACUUAGCAGCACUUGCCUUGCUUCUUUGCUUGCUGAUUUUUUUUCUUUCUGGUGCAUGGAGGGGUAGCUGGGGGGAGAUGGAGGACCCUUGCUCACUGCUCUUGGCCACCGGUCUGCCAACACUGUCUCCCAAGUGAGGCAGGAGAAAGGGAGAGGAUGGCCAUUAUGCAGACAAAGAGUUUGGGUGUGAACAUGUGUACAUGUGCUGAGAGCUUCCCCUUCACCCUGGCAUCUGGUUUUCCUCCCAUGCUACUUAUCACUUGGAUGGUGCCCCAAAUAUUCAGAGAGCUCUCCAGUCUGCUGGUAUCCUGCCCUGUCCAUAAAGACAUCCUAGUGGCAAACAGUUGUCAAAGCAGGAUUUUAUGCAUUUGACCAUGUAUUUUGUUACACUCUAAGCUUGACUUACAGCAAAGCAGAGGUGAACGUGAGAGCUCGAAGUG